rnacentral:rRNA from 1 species
UACGUAUGGUGCAAGCGUUGUUCGGAAUCACUGGGCAUAAAGAGCACGUAGGCGGUUUGGUAAGUCUGACUGUGAAAUCCCUCGGCUCAACCGAGGAACUGCAUCGGAUACUGCCGAACUCGAGUGCAGUAGGGGAGAGUGGAAUUCCUGGUGGAGCGGUGAAAUGCGUAGAUAUCAGGAGGAACACCGGUGGCGAAAGCGACUCUCUGGACUGUUACUGACGCUGAGGUGCGAAAGCCAGGGGAGCAAACGGG